CGGUGGGUGCAGGUCUAUCACCUUUUAAGCUUCUGGUGUAAAAGGAGUGGAGUCUUUAUCACGUAGAUUUAUUUUGGUGGGUCACCCAGCUGCCAUUCUUUCCACGACAGCACCUAGUCAUUAUCGGAGGAGUCGCAGAGCUAUCUGAAAGGGCAGUCUGUAUUCUGAAUGAGCUGUAACUUACUCAAAAUUAAAAGAAGACUUUGUGUUCCAGAAUGAGAUGGAUUUUAUGGGAAAAUGAGGCAAGGUGUCCCAGUUUAAAAGGCCUGGCUCUACAAUCUGUUUUGAAAUUCUAUUUCUGAAUCACUGUUGACCAUGGCUUCACUAGAAGAGAAAGUAAAUUGUGUUCUUUGGUUGGUUGAACUAAAAUCUACUGCUGCUGUCCAAAGAAGGUUUAGAACCCAUUACAAGAAAGACGCACCCCAAAAGAAUUCCGUAUCCAAGUUGAUGAAAAAAUUUAAAGAAACAGGUUCUGUCAGUGGUAAGCCGUGGUCUGGUAGGCCAUGUGUUAGUGAAGAAACUGUAGCAUCCGUAGAAGGAAGCUUUGAGGAAAGUCCAAGAAAGUCAUUAAGACGGGCAUCUCUAGAGCUGAGGCUUUCAAAAUCUGUGCAUCAGAAACUACAGACAAGACUUUCCACGUGAAAGGGCACCAAAGUCAAGUGCAUCACGUGUGGUUAGCAGAGAGUUGUCAUGCAUGAUUACCAUCAGUUCGAUGAAAAGCUCAGCAAUGAUGAUGCAUUUGAGUAACUUAAUAUUCUCUGAUGAAGCAACAUUCCACAUUAGUGGCAAGGUCAACAGACAUAAUUGCCAUAUUUGGGGAACUGAAACUUCACAUGCAUCUGUUGAACAUGAAAGAGAUUCUCCCAAAGUUAAUGUGUGGUGCGCUUUGGGGAAAAAUUGAGUCACAGGACGUGUUGUUAAUGGUGAUAGUUGUUUAGAAAUGCUGUGAAAUUACUUAAUUCCUCAGCUUUAUCAAUUAAGACUGAUAGAGAAUACAGUGUUUCAACAGGAUGGUGCUCCUUGUGGCUUUGGUUUGCAUGUUAGACAGUUUCUACAUGAGAAAACCUAACAGAUGGUUGGAAAAAGGUGGACCAUUUUCUUGGCCUCCAUGUUUGCCAGAUUGGACUCCACUGGCUUUCCUUUUACGGGAACAUGUAAAAACUAAUGUUUAUUCAAACAAACCUCGAUCUUUAGAAGACUUGGCAAGCUAGGAUAACUUAAUUGCUGGUAUUACUAAAAAUCAGCUUGAAAACGUUUUCCAAGAACUACAGAAUUGUAUUACCCUUUGGACUAGUAAUGAUGGUGAACAUGUUGCUAAUUAACAAGAACAUUAAAAAAAUGUGUUUCUUCUUUCUGAUCUUUUCUACAGGUUCUUGUAUCACAUAUACUUAGAAAGUUACAACUAUUUUAAAUUGCAUAUGACCUUUAUGGACAUCAUGUAUAGUUUUAGGAGAGCUUAUUAUAAAUUUUUUUGCACCAAAAUAAACUUGUACUAACUAAUAACAACAUGUCUAAACAGGAUCUAGUUUGAGGCACUAAGAAGGAUAAAAAAAGCUAUCAGAGCAAUAUGAACUCUGCUAAAAUUUAAGCAAGAACAAACAUCAAAUUUAUGGUGAAGGUUGGGUGAAAAAAUGGUGAAGUCAUUGAUGCUUACAAGAAGUUUAUGGGAACAAUGCUCUAAGGAUGAGUGACAGUUUACAAAUGAAUGACUCGUGUUAAGAAGGCAUGAGAAUGUUUUGAAGAUGAAGCAUUAUAGCAGCAGGCCAUCCACAUUAAUUUGCAAGGAUAAAAUUAAUCUUGUUGGUGACCUCAUUAAAGAGUACUGACAAUUGACAGCAGAAACAAUAACCAACACCAUAGACAUCUCAAUUGGUUUAACUUACACAAUCCUGAUCAAAAAUUACAGUUCAGCAAGCUUUCCACUCUAUUGGUGCCAAACCUCUUAGGCUCAGAUCAGCUGUAGACAAACCACAGCUUUCAAUGGAAAUUUUAAAGUGUGACCAAGAUCAUAAAGUCUUUCUUGGAAGGAUUGUAACAAGAUGGAACAGGAUUUACCAGUAUGAUCCUGAAGGCUAAGCACAGUCUGAGCGCUGACUCCCAGGAAGUGGAAGUGGUCCAGUUAGCAAAAGCAGCCAGAAACAAAGGUGAUGGCAACAGGUUUAACGGGGGAUAGUCAUGGCAUUUUGCUUGUUGACUUUCUGAAGAGCCAAUGAACAAUAACAUCUGCUUAUUAUAAGAAUGUUUUGAGAAAGUUAGCCAAAGCUUUAAAUCAGGCGUCCUCAAACUAUGGCCCACGGAGGACAUUUAUC